GAGCAGCAGAGUACUGUCCUCCAGAGGCUUUUUCGCAGCCCAAAUACCACGCCGUCCCAACAAAUGUCUGGGCUCUGGGCGUUACGCUGUAUCUGAUGGUGAACAGACGGCUGCCCUUUUACAACAUCCGGGAAACAUUGGAAGCUUCCCCUAAGUUUUGGAAGCCCACCUUGUCCAUAGCAUGCCGUGAUCUGAUUGGCCAGUGUCUGAACCGCGAUCCAGCGAAGCGGCCGACUUUAGAGCAGAUCUUAGAGCACCCCUGGUUCAAAAGGUGGCUCUAGAAUGAAGGCAGGCGAGGGAUUCCCUCUCUCAUGUGCCUCAGACCUAAUCACUCUCCAUAGAGGUCAAGUACUGUCAUAUGUUUCAAUUCUAAAUGAUGUUGAGAAAACAAAACAGUUGUUGACCGCAGAGCACUUUAAUGUUCUGGUCCUAUUAUAGACAACAUAGUAAUAUGAUAAUAUGAAAAGUACUGGACUAGAUAGAAACAUGAUUCCAAAUCUUCUUGAGACCAUGAACCCAAACAGACCUCUAAAGGACCAGUGUGGACAUUAGGGUGUGCUUCCCAUCUAACGCUCCUGUGCAGUUAGGGAAAUCCACCUAGAUGAAAACUUUGAAGAGAUAUUCCUCUCCUGCUCAGUCGGUCUUUCUAGGUGUGUGUAUCCAUCAUGCACCUGUUCAGUGCAGCACAUGUGUCCUCGAUGGAUUUAGCCACUGUCCUCUCCUGGAAACAAUAGUGAGAGGCAAGCGUUCUGACUAAUUUCCUGAUAUAAAAUAAACUUUAAUAUAAACAUUCAUUUCUGUCUCUUCACAGAUAAUUAGUGCAGGGCAAGAUAGAAGUCACUUCGAGACAAACACAUCAAGUGGAAAAAAAGACAGCAGUUGCUCAGUGGCUCUGGAGCAAUGCGUCAACAGGAAUGGAAAUAAGCUUCAGCGAUUUCCUUCCUGAAUGUAUUUAUACAAAAUUGAAGUCGCUCCGACUCCGGUCUUCCAGAGCCCUGCCUCUGCCUUGGUUGCAUGAGACUUCAGCUCCACCUUGGCCCUCCGGACCCUCAGUGUCACCCUGGCUCUCCAUCCGCUCGUCUCCAUUCUGGGCUCAUCAUCCAUCGGCUCAGUUCUCUGUAUGUCGGCCCCCUGGUGUUGUCGGCUCCAUGGCUCCUCCCUGCUCCCUCCAUUCACUCCACCCUGGCACUAUGGACUAUGUUCCCUCUCCAUUGCCUGCCCCACACCUGCCCCCUGAUCAUCCACCCUCCCUCCUCUGUUGGGCUUUUUUGUCGGCACGAGGACAUGCCGUUCUGGGAGGGGUCAAACUCUGUUUUGGUUUAAAGUCUUCUUCUGUAUUUUGUCCGUUCUCGUUGAUGUUUAUUCAUUGAUCUAAUGUGGAUUUAUUUAGCUGUCUCCUGGAUAUUCUUAUUAAAAUACCUUUUUUCU